UACGGAGGGUGCAAGCGUUAUCCGGAUUCACUGGGUUUAAAGGGUGCGUAGGUGGGCUGGUAAGUCAGUGGUGAAAUCUCCGAGCUUAACUCGGAAACUGCCAUUGAUACUAUCGGUCUUGAAUACCGUGGAGGUCAGUAGAAUAUGUCAUGUAGCGGUGAAAUGCUUAGAUAUGACAUAGAAUACCAAUUGCGAAGGCAGCUGGCUACACGAAUAUUGACACUCAGGCACGAAAGCGUGGGGAUCAAACAGG
rnacentral:rRNA from 1 species